rnacentral:rRNA from 1 species
GAUGAACGCUGGCGGCGUGCCUAAUACAUGCAAGUCGAGCGAACAGACGAGGAGCUUGCUCCUCUGACGUUAGCGGCGGAAGGGUGAGUAACACGUGGAUAACCUACCUAUAAAACUGGGAUAACUUCGGGAAACCGGAGCUAAUACCGGAUAAUAUAUUGAACCGCAUGGUUCAAUAGUGAAAGACGGUUUUGCUGUCCCUUAUAGAUGGAUCCGCGCCGCAUUAGCUAGUUGGUAAGGUAACGGCUUACCAAGGCAACGAUGCGUAGCCGACCUGAGAGGGUGAUCGGCCACACUGGAACUGAGACUAGGUCCAGACCCCUACGGGAGGCAGCAGUAGGGAAUCUUCCGCAAUGGGCGAAAGCUUGACGGAGCAACGCCGCGUGAGUGAGGAAGGUCUUCGGAUCGUAAAACUCUGUUAUUAGGGAAGAACAAAUGUGUAAGUAACUAUGCACGUCUUGACGGCACCUAAUCAGAAAGCUACGGCUAACUACGUG